UAUACUUCACCGGCGUACGAGUAUGUAAGUACAUUGCCGUGUCCGUGCUGCACUGCUGCUCCACUGUACCGGGUAUUGUGCAAGUAGCUGUUGAACUCACUGCUACUUUUGGAGAAUUAUGUUAAACAUUUGCACGAAAACACGUUCGGACUUUCAAUGAAAUGCGUAAAUUGUGUUCGCAGUCUUAAUUUAAUGUUGCCUUGGGACAUAAUGUGUUUAAUACAAUCCAUUGACAAUGGGCAAUAGUCUUAUUCAAGAUAAAAGGUGCUAAAUGCAGCGACCAAUAUAGACAUUUGCAUGACUGAUCUUACUUGGGGUCAAUGUCACCGUGUACCUACUGCUCACGAACUUGCAGUAAUUGCAGAGAAUGAGUGAAAUAAAUCGAUGUUGUUUAUAUCCUGCGAUCUACAUUCGUCGAGGCAGUGCAUGCAAGAUCAUUGUGAGAUAUUAUGUCUCACGUCAUACCAAUUUCACCCAUUCACGCUUACAUUAAUUGAAGAUCAUCACUAUUACUAUCUACUGUACACUAUUAUGAUCAGA
rnacentral:lncRNA from 1 species